rnacentral:rRNA from 1 species
CAGUAGCCGCGGGAAUACAGAGGGUGCGAGCGUUAAUCGGAUUUACUGGGCGUAAAGCGUGCGUAGGCGGCUUCUUAAGUCGGAUGUGAAAUCCCUGAGCUUAACUUAGGAAUUGCAUUCGAUACUGGGAAGCUAGAGUAUGGGAGAGGAUGGUAGAAUUCCAGGUGUAGCGGUGAAAUGCGUAGAGAUCUGGAGGAAUACCGAUGGCGAAGGCAGCCAUCUGGCCUAAUACUGACGCUGAGGUACGAAAGCAUGGGGAGCAAACAGGAUUAGAUACCCCCGUAGUCCUUGUCUCUUAUAA